rnacentral:sRNA from 1 species
CGGUGACGACUUGCGGGCAGAUGAGAUGGACGUGGGUGUCCACCGCCCCGGCGGUGAGGAUCCGGCCGUUGCCGGCGAUCACCUCGGUGGCCGGGCCGAUGACCAGGUCGGGGUGCACCCCCGGCAUGGUGUCCGGGUUCCCGGCCCGGCCGAUCGCCACGAUCCGGCCGUCGCGCAGCCCCACGUCGGCCUUGACGACGCCCCAGUGGUCGAGGAUCACCGCCCCGGUGAUCACGGUGUCCAGGGCGCCCUCGGCGCGGGUGGCGCGGGACUGGCCCAUCGACUCG